UGGGACCAGGAGGAGUUGAACCUCCGACCUCA
rnacentral:tRNA from 1 species